GCACCGCUAGCUCAACUGGCAGAGCAGCAGACUCUUAAUCUGCGGGUUCGGGGUUCAAGUCCCCGGCGGUGUA
rnacentral:tRNA from 1 species